rnacentral:rRNA from 1 species
AUGAACGCUGGCGGCGUGCCUAAUACCUGCAAGUCGAGCGCACAGACGAGGAGCUUGCUCCUCUGACGUUAGCGGCGGACGGGUGAGUAACACGUGGAUAACCUACCUAUAAGACUGGGAUAACUUCGGGAAACCGGAGCUAAUACCGGAUAACAUGUUGAACCGCAUGGUUCAACAGUGAAAGACGGUCUUGCCGUCACUUAUAGAUGGAUCCGCGCCGCAUUAGCUAGUUGGUAAGGUAACGGCUUACCAAGGCAACGAUGCGUAGCCGACCUGAGAGGGUGAUCGGCCACACUGGAACUGAGACACGGUCCAGACUCCUACGGGAGGCAGAAGUAGGGAAUCUUCCGAAAUGGGCGAAAGCCUGACGGAGAAACGCGGCGUGAGGGAAGAAGGUCUUCGGAUCGUAAAACUCUUUUAUUAGGGAAGAACAAAUGUGUAAGUAACUAUGCAGGUCUUGACGGUACUAAUCAGAAAGCCACGGCUAACUACGUG